rnacentral:rRNA from 1 species
GAUGAACGCUGGCGGCGUGCUUAACACAUGCAAGUCGAACGGAAAGGCCACAGCUUGCUGUGGUACUCGAGUGGCGAACGGGUGAGUAACACGUGGGUGAUCUGCCCUGUACUUCGGGAUAAGCUUGGGAAACUGGGUCUAGUACCGGAUAGGAAUCACAUGUGGGUGUGUGGUUGGAAAGCUUUUGCGGUAUGGGAUGAGCUCGCGGCCUAUCAGCUUGUUGGUGGGGUAAUGGCCUACCAAGGCGUCGACGGGUAGCCGGCCUGAGAGGGUGUACGGCCACAUUGGGACUGAGAUACGGCCCAGACUCCUACGGGAGGCAGCAGUGGGGAAUAUUGCACAAUGGGCGCAAGCCUGAUGCAGCGACGCCGCGUGGGGGAUGACGGCCUUCGGGUUGUAAACUCCUUUCGUCAGGGACGAAGCGAAAGUGACGGUACCUGGAUAAGAAGCACCGGCUAACUACGUG